UACAGAGGGUGCAAGCGUUGUUCGGAAUUACUGGGCGUAAAGCGCACGUAGGCGGAUUGUUAAGUCAGGGGUGAAAUCCCGGGGCUCAACCCCGGAACUGCCUUUGAUACUGGCAUUCUCGAGUCCGGAAGAGGUGAGUGGAAUUCCGAGUGUAGAGGUGAAAUUCGUAGAUAUUCGGAGGAACACCAGUGGCGAAGGCGGCUCACUGGUCCGGAACUGACGCUGAGGUGCGAAAGCGUGGGGAGCAAACAGG
rnacentral:rRNA from 1 species